CAUCAGGAAUUUGUAACGUGCCAUAUUAUUACCGAUGGGUAUAUCUGGAGAACCAAAUGUCACCACGGAACAGGGCAAUUUCAAGUUUUUGAAAAUGCCAGCGGUUUAUGCAGCCGCACCUUUCAUCGAAGAUUUCUUGUCGCUGCGUUUUGCCAUUGAAGCUUCAUCCUAGGACUGGAUUGGCCGCUAAUGGUCCCAGCUGUGCGAUUUCGUUAGCUCGCAGAGACCGCAGUUGUCGUAUCCAUUGAAGGAGCCUACGUACAGUAGCCUAAAGGAAAAAAACGGCGUGAUGAUGUGCGAGGUGAUGCCCACCAUCAGCGAGGACACGGCUCAGCGGGGCUCUCAGAGCAGUGCCUCGGACCCAGACUCCCACUUUGAGCAGCUGAUGGUCAACAUGCUGGAUGAGAGGGACCGCCUGUUGGACACGCUGAGGGAGACCCAGGAGAGCCUGGGGAUGUCCCAGCAGCACCUGGAGGACGUUAUCUACGACCGGGACUCACUGCAGCGCCAGCUCAGCUCCGCCCUGCCACAGGAGUUUGCAGCUCUGACCAAGGAGCUGAAUGUGUGCAGAGAGAACCUUCUGGAGAAGGAGGAGGAGAUUUCUGAGCUCAAGGCCGAGAGGAACAACACCAGGUUGCUUCUGGAGCAUCUGGAGUGCCUGGUGUCCAGGCAUGAGCGGUCACUACGUAUGACUGUGGUCAAGCGGCAGGCCCAGUCCCCCUCAGGCGUGUCCAGUGAGGUGGAGGUCCUCAAAGCGCUCAAGUCCCUGUUCGAGCACCACAAAGCUCUAGACGAGAAGGUGAGGGAGAGACUGCGGGUGUCGCUAGAGAGGGUCUCUGCAUUGGAGGAGGAGCUAACAUCAGCCAACCAGGAGAUUGUGGCCUUACGGGAGCAGAAUGCCCACAUCCAGAGGAAGGUGGCGUCAGGGGACGGGUCAGAGGACAUGCUGGAGGGCACUGAUGCCAGCCAGAAGGUACAUAGCAAGCGCCUGUCCAACGGCUCCAUGGAGUCGGCCCAUGAGGCGGGCCAGGUGGUGGAGCUGCAGGACCUGCUGGAGAAGCAGAACUAUGAGCUGGCGCAGAUGAAGGAGCGCAUGUCUUCCCUGUCGUCCCGCGUCUCCGAGGUGGAGCAGGAGCUGGACACCGCGCGCAAGGACCUCAUCAAGACAGAGGAGAUGAGUACCAAGUACCAGAGGGACAUCAAAGAGGUGAGGAGAGAGGCUAUGUGUCAGAAGGAGGACAUGGAAGAGAGGAUCGUCACUCUGGAGAAGCGGUACCUCAGCGCCCAGAGAGAGUCCACCUCCCUGCAUGACAUCAGUGACAAACUGGAGAAUGAGCUGGCCAAUAAGGAAGCCUUCCUCAGACAGAUGGAGGAUAAGAACAGGCAGCUGCUGGAGCGUUUGGAGAUAGCAGAGCAGAAGCUGCAGCAGACCAUGAGAAAGGCUGAGACCCUGCCAGAGGUGGAGGCUGAACUGGCCCAGAGGAUAGCAGCACUCACCAAGGCGGAGGAGCGCCACGGCAGCAUCGAGGAACGCAUGAGGCACCUGGAGGGCCAGCUGGAGGAGAAGCACCAGGAGCUGCUCAGAGCUCGGCAGAGAGAAAAGAUGAACGAGGAACACAACAAGCGCCUGUCGGACACGGUGGACAGACUUCUCACAGAGUCCAACGAACGUCUUCAGCUCCACCUGAAAGAGAGGAUGGCUGCUCUGGAAGAGAAGAACGUUUUAAUACAAGACUCGGAAGGCUACAGAAAACAGUACGAGGAUUCAAUCCAUGAAAAAACUCAUCUGGCAGAUGAGAUAGACAAGCUGAGAUCAGAGUUGGACCAGUUCCGACUGAGAACAGGCUCACUCACAGAACCCACUCUGUCACGGUAUGGGUCUCACCUGGACACGUCGGGGGAGCUCCGCUUCUCCCUGGGCUCCCUGGCUGAGACCCAGUCAGACCACUACCGGUCAGCCAAGGUCAUCCGCAGGCCCAGGAGAGGACGCAUGGGUCUCCACAGGGACGAGAGCAAGGCUAAGUCACUGGGGGAGCACGAGUGGCGCUCUCAGCAGCUAGGCAUCCUGGGUAGCCACCCGUUUGAGAGUGAGAUGUCUGACAUGUCGGACAUUGAUGACGAUGACCGGGAAACCAUGUUCAGCUCCAUGGACCUGCUGUCCCCCGGCGGUCACUCAGACGCCCAGACCCUAGCCAUGAUGCUGCAGGAGCAGCUGGACGCCAUUAACAAAGAGAUACGACUGAUCCAGGAGGAGAAGGAGUCGACAGAGCUGCGGGCGGAGGAGAUAGAGAACCGUGUGGCCAGCGUCAGCCUGGAGGGUCUCAACCUCGCCCGUAUGCACCACCCCGGAGCCUCCAUCACCGCCUCGGCCACCGCCUCCUCCCUGGCCUCUUCCUCCCCUCCCAGCGGACACUCCACCCCCAAGUUGGACCACCGCAGCACCGCAGACAUGGAGCGCAUGGGUAUCAUGACACUGCCCAGUGAUCUGAGGAAACACAGGAGAAAGAUUGCGGCCACCGACGAUGACGGCCAGGACAAGGCUACCAUCAAGUGUGAGACGUCCCCUCCUCCCACGCCUCGGACCGUACGCAUGACCCGCACACUGCCAGCCUCCUCACACAACGAGGCCCGAGGCAUUGCUGCCAGCCUGGAGGCAGAGGCCAGUGGUCUGAGCAGCGUAGCCAGCAGUCAGGACUCCAUCAACAAGCAGCCCAAGAAGAAAGGCAUCAAGUCCUCCAUCGGACGCCUGUUUGGCAAGAAGGAGAAGACCAGACUGGCACAGCUGCAUGCCCACAGGGAGGCCAUCGGGCAGAGCCAAGGAGUGUCUGAUCCAGACCUGGGUCAGGACAUGGCUGUGGGGAAGCUGGGGACUCAGGCUGAGAAAGACCGCCGGCUGAAAAAGAAAAGCGGGCACGAGUUGUUGGAAGAGGCGAGGAGGAAAGGCUUACCUUUCGCCCAAUGGGACGGCCCCACAGUGGUGGCCUGGCUGGAGCUGUGGCUGGGGAUGCCCGCCUGGUACGUGGCGGCGUGUCGUGCCAACGUGAAGAGCGGUGCCAUCAUGUCGGCCCUGUCGGACACAGAGAUCCAGAGGGAGAUUGGCAUCAGUAACCCCCUGCACCGCCUCAAACUACGGCUGGCCAUCCAGGAGAUGGUGUCCCUCACCAGUCCAUCUGCCCCGCCAACCUCCAGAACCCCGUCAGGCAAUGUAUGGGUGACCCACGAGGAAAUGGAGACCCUCGCAGCACCCUCCUCCAAAACGAGGUCCGGGGAGUCCGAGGAGGGGAGCUGGGCGCAGACUCUAGCGUAUGGUGACAUGAACCAUGAGUGGAUAGGGAACGAGUGGUUGCCCAGUCUAGGACUACCUCAGUACCGCAGCUACUUCAUGGAGUGCCUGGUGGACGCCCGCAUGCUGGACCACCUCACCAAGAAGGACCUCCGGGUGCAUCUCAAAAUGGUGGACAGCUUUCACAGGACGAGUUUGCAGUAUGGUAUCAUGGGUCUGAAGAAGCUCAACUAUGACAGGAAAGAGCUGGAGAGACGCAGAGAGCACAGCCAGCAUGAAAUGAGAGACGUGCUGGUGUGGAGCAACGAGCGGGUGAUUCGCUGGGUCCAGAGCAUCGGCCUAAAAGACUAUGCCAACAUCCUGCUGGAGAGCGGCGUGCACGGGGCCCUGGUCGCCCUCGACGACAACUUUGACCACACCAGCUUGGCGCUGCUCAUCCAGAUCCCCAACCAAAGCACUCAGGCACGUCAGAUUCUGGAGAGGGAAUAUAAUAACCUGCUAGCCCUGGGCACUGAGAGACGACUGGACGAGUAUGAAGAUAAUGACCUCCGGGGGCCAUCGUGGAGGAGGCAGUUCCCCCCGCGGGACGUCCAUGGGAUUAGUAUGAUGCCCGGUUCGGCAGAGACCCUCCCCGCUGGCUUCCGUGUCACCACCGGCUCACACUCCCGUAGGCUACCCCCCGAAGUGCUCUAUGAGGCGCUGGAUGACAGUCCUGACGACAUGUAUUUGGACUGGUUUCAAGUGGACAAUGGGAGCUGAUCCUGUGUCAGUUGUUAUGGGCAUAAAUUGGCCCCUUAGCAGUGCAGCGUCUGGACAGCUCUACAGUGAGGACAUACUCCUGCUGAGGGAGGAGAAGAGAGACUGUAAGCUGUCCAGAUACUGUAUGUAGAGAAGGUCUUACUGUACCUUGGAGCUGCUGGACGGGUCCUCCUGCCUGGAACAAACAUUCUGACGAGACGCACUGCCAAGAAGCACCCCCUACCCACCCACCCACCAAAAAGAGAGGGGGAGGGGGGGGCAGCGAGGGGUGCCUCCUGCCAAGCCGCCCCCUCUGCACUUACAAGUCAAGGCCCCCUGAAACCUGGGCAGCAGCUGCCGGUGCUACUUUCCUUCAGUCUGUCCUGUUGUCACCGUUUCUACCUUUUACAUGUACAAUAACUUGUUGAAGCAUAAUGUACUGUGUAUUUCUUCUACCAGGAGAUGUGUAGGUUAUCUGUAAAUUAAUAUAAAUAUGAGUUUUUUUAAAUAUAUAUAUAUAAAUAUAUACACAUCUAUAUUACAAAAAAGAAAAGAUAUUCAGAGUUUGUGCAAAUAAACCCCCCUUCCCAUUUCAAGUCCAUGUCCUUGGUUAAAAUAUGCUGCUCUUUGAACAUUUCUCCAUCAUUCCCUGAGAGACCAUUUUGUACAUAGUUAUUUUCCAUUGUGCAGGGAAACGUGUGUUUUCACCUUGGAGAGACUGUCCAUCUGGUCGCCACGUGACCUCCCCCCCCAGCUGGUAAAGCCUGCCCUCUAGUGGCGUGUACAGCCCCAUGUAUCCGUGUCACCAUCCACCAGCCACAGCCCCCCACCUCACAAUCAUGACGAAGCCCAUCUCAUAGCAAAGCAUUCUGGGAGGAGGACACAGAAACGCACUGUGACGUCUACUGAUGAUGUGACAAGCACUUUGAUACAACCACAGAAACUGUGGACUACAGCCACAGACUAAAAGAUAGACUCUACUCUGAAGCUACUCAGCUCAGAGAUCAACUAACAGCAGGAACACUCUUCAUCAGAUGAUCUCACUCACCUAUAGUACCUUGACCAUAAAGCCAUACAUGAAUAAACUCAAGCUGGACUUUUUUUAAUUUUGCCAUGGGGUCCGACUCAGCAUCGCUGAGAAAUAACUGAAAGACAGACUGCUUAACUCAUUGUGCGUAGAGUGUAUAUGAACAUGUCGAAGUGAGGUGAAUUUUAAUGACAAACCUGUUGCUUGCUGUGACAUUGGUGUAACUGUUAACUCUUUGUUUUUGUCUGAGUUGCCAGGGAAACCUAUUGUACAGCCCUCCUACCUGUCUUUGAGUUAUUUCUGCUGGAGUACUCGAUCAGGUUUGAAUUUUUUGUUGACUUUUACAUCCUCGAUUUGCACAAACAAAGAAUCAUUUUAUUUUGUGUCCAUUUUUUAUUCAUUGCUAAUUGUAUUUUGGUCAAAUCUACGUGGUGAUCAAUCAAAUUUUCAUUGCCAAUAAAAAAAAAUACUGUCAGUGAAGUAGCUGUUGAAAUGACUAU